GAUGAACGCUGGCGGCGUGCCUAAUACAUGCAGGUCGAGCGAACAGAUGAGGAGCUUGCUCCUCUGACGUUAGCGGCGGACGGGUGAGUAACACGUGGAUAACCUACCUAUAAGACUGGGAUAACUUCGGGAAACCGGAGCUAAUACCGGAUAAUAUAUUGAACCGCAUGGUUCAAUAGUGAAUGACGGUUUUGCUGUCACUUAUAGAUGGAUCCGCGCCGCCUUAGCUAGUUGGUAAGGUAACGGCUUACCAAGGCAACGAUGCGUAGCCGACCUGAGAGGGUGAUCGGCCACAGUGGAACUGAGACACGGUCCAGACUCCUACGGGAGGGAGCAGUAGGGAAUCUUCCGCAAUGGGCGAAAGCCUGACGGAGCAACGCCGCGUGAGUGAUGAAGGUCUUCGGAUCGUAAAACUCUGUUAUUAGGGAAGAACAAAUGUGUAAGUAACUAUGCACGUCUUGACGGUACCUAAACAGAAAGCCACGGCUAACUACGUG
rnacentral:rRNA from 1 species